rnacentral:rRNA from 1 species
GAUGAACGCUGGCGGCGUGCCUAAUACAUGCAAGUCGAGCGAACGGACGAGAAGCUUGCUUCUCUGCUGUUAGCGGCGGACGGGUGAGUAACACGUGGAUAACUUACCUAUAAGACUGGGAUAACUUCGGGAAACCGGAGCUAACACCGGAUAAUAUUUUGAACCGCAUGGUUCAAAAGUGAAAGACGGUCUUGCUGUCACUUAUAGAUGGAUCCGCGCUGCAUUAGCUAGUUGGUAAGGUAACGGCUUACCAAGGCAACGAUGCAUAGCCGACCUGAGAGGGUGAUCAGCCACACUGGAACUGAGACACGGUCCAGACUCCUACGGGAGGCAGCAGUAGGGAAUCUUCCGCAAUGGGCGAAAGCCUGACGGAGCAACGCCGCGUGAGUGAUGAAGGUCUUCGGAUCGUAAAGCUCUGUUAUUAGGGAAGAAGGGAAGUGUAAGUAACUGUGCACGUCUUGACGGUACCUAAAGAAAAAGCCACGGCUAACUACGUG